UACGAAGGGUGCAAACGUUGCUCGGAAUUAUUGGGCGUAAAGCGCACGUAGGCGGCAUUGCAAGUCGGAUGUGAAAUCCCUCGGCUCAACCAAGGAAGUGCAUCCGAAACUGCAGUGCUUGAGUACUUAAGAGGAUCGCGGAAUUCCCCGUGUAGAGGUGAAAUUCGUAGAUAUCGGGAGGAACACCAGUGGCGAAGGCGGCGAUCUGGGAAGAUACUGACGCUGAGGUGCGAAAGCGUGGGGAGCAAACAGG
rnacentral:rRNA from 1 species